rnacentral:rRNA from 1 species
CAGUAGCCGCGGUAAUACGUAGGUGGCAAGCGUUGUCCGGAAUUAUUGGGCGUAAAGGGCUCGCAGGCGGUCUCUUAAGUCUGAUGUGAAAGCCCCCGGCUCAACCGGGGAGGGUCAUUGGAAACUGGGAAACUUGAGUGCAGAAGAGGAGAGUGGAAUUCCACGUGUAGCGGUGAAAUGCGUAGAGAUGUGGAGGAACACCAGUGGCGAAGGCGACUCUCUGGUCUGCAACUGACGCUGAGGAGCGAAAGCGUGGGGAGCGAACAGGAUUAGAUACCCGGGUAGUCCCUGUCUCUUAUAC